GAAGCCCUGUUGACAACAUCAUUUACAUGGAUGAGCUGAAAACAAAACUAGCAAGAUUGACAGGGGUCAAUCCACCUUGGGGCUGGGGAAAAAGCACUGGAGGAAGGUUCAGUCGGUGUGAGUUACGGCCUCAGUUCCGUGAGACGGCGCCGGUACUGGAAGGAACAGCAGGCUUGGACCCGAGAGAUCUUGUCUACAAAUACGUCUUUUUACAACACAUCAUUUAACUUUUCUUGCCUCCAGUUUAUUAAGGUGGGUACCUCCAGUGUCUCUCACUACCUGGUUCCACUUGUUGACCAUGUGACUUCUCUGGGUGGCAGUUUCCUUAUCAGAGAAGCGGAGCUAAUGGCACGCACCUUGCCAAUUUCAUCGGAGGGUGAGGAUCAAUGAACAAAUCAGAAGUGAGUUCACCAUCAAGCUCCUGAAGAUUGAACAUCAG
rnacentral:lncRNA from 1 species